rnacentral:rRNA from 1 species
UACAGAGGGUGCAAGCGUUAAUCGGAUUUACUGGGCGUAAAGGGCGCGUAGGUUGUUAUUUAAGUGAGAUGUGAAAUCCCCGGGCUUGACCUGGGAACUGCAUCUUAUACUGGGUAACUGGAGUGCAAUAGAGGGUAGUGGAAUUUCCGGUGUAGCGGUGAAAUGCGUAGAUAUCGGAAGGAACACCAGUGGCGAAGGCGGCUACCUGGAUUGACACUGACACUGAGGCGCGAGAGCGUGGGGAGCAAACAGG